rnacentral:rRNA from 1 species
AUUGAACGCUGGCGGCGUGCUUGACACAUGCAAGUCGAUCGGUAACGCGGGGGCAACCCUGGCGACGAGAGGCGGACGGGUGAGGAACGCUUGGGAAUCUGCCCUUCAGCGGGGGACAACACGGGGAAACUCGUGCUAAUACCGCAUACGCUCCACGGAGGAAAGCCGGGGACCGCAAGGCCUGGCACUGAAGGAUGAGCCCAAGUCGGAUUAGCUAGUUGGCGGGGUAACGGCCCACCAAGGCGACGAUCCGUAGCUGGUCUGAGAGGACGAUCAGCCACACUGGGACUUGGACACGGCCCAGACUCCUACGGGAGGCAGCAGUGGGGAAUAUUGGACAAUGGGAGAAACCCUGAUCCAGCGACGCCGCGUGGGUGAAGAAGGCCUGCGGGUUGUAAAGCCCUUUCGGUAGGGACGAAAGCUCUCGACCUAACACGUCGGGAGGUUGACUUAACCUACAAAAGAAGCACCGGCUAACUCUGUGCCAGCCGCUGCGGUAAGAC